rnacentral:rRNA from 1 species
GAUGAACGCUGGCGGCGUGCCUAAUACAUGCAAGUCGAGCGAAGAGACGAGGAGCUUGCUCCGCUGACGUUAGCGGCGGAGGGGUGAGUAACAUGUGUAUACCGUACCUAUAAGACUGGUAAAACUUGGGGAAACCGGAUCUAAUACGGGAUAAUAUAUUGAUCCGCAGGGUUCAAUAGUGAAAGGCGGUUUUGCUGGCACUUAUAGAUGGAUCCGCGCCGCAUUAGCUAGUGGGUAAGGUAACGGCUUACCAAGGCACCGAGGCGUAGCCGACCGGUGAGGGUGAUCGGCUACCCGGGAACAUAGGCACGGUCCAGCGUCCUAGGGGAGGCCGGGGUAGGGAAGCGUCCAAUAUGGGAGAAAGGCUGACGGAGUAACGCAGCGUCGGUGAUGAAGGUAUGCGGAUCGUAAAACUCUGUUAUUAUGGCAGAACAAAUGAGGCAGUAACUAUGCACGUCUUGACGGUAGCUAAUAAGAAAGCCACGGCCAACUACGUG